UACGGAGGAUCCGAGCGUUAUCCGGAUUUAUUGGGUUUAAAGGGAGCGUAGGUGGAUUGUUAAGUCAGUUGUGAAAGUUUGCGGCUCAACCGUAAAAUUGCAGUUGAAACUGGCAGUCUUGAGUACAGUAGAGGUGGGCGGAAUUCGUGGUGUAGCGGUGAAAUGCUUAGAUAUCACGAAGAACUCCGAUUGCGAAGGCAGCUCACUAGACUGUAACUGACACUGAUGCUCGAAAGUGUGGGUAUCAAACAGG
rnacentral:rRNA from 1 species